rnacentral:rRNA from 1 species
GACGAACCGAGCGACCGUUGUUCGGAAUCACUGGGCUUAAAGGGCGCGUAGGCGGGCUGUCAAGUCUGGGGUGAAAUCCCACGGCUCAACCGUGGAACUGCCUUAGAUACUGACGGCCUCGAGGGAGAUAGGGGCGAGCGGAACUGUGAGUGGAGCGGUGAAAUGCGUUGAUAUUCACAGGAACUCCGGUGGCGAAGGCGGCUCGCUGGAUCUUUUCUGACGCUGAGGCGCGAAAGCUAGGGGAGCAAACGGG